rnacentral:snoRNA from 1 species
CGUCUCAUGCUAAACUGAGUCUGGGAUAUCCACCUGGGCAUUAGGUAGAAUGAAGACGCAUAUUAAAAAACGAUUGUUUUAAUAUCCUAGUGCCUGAAGAUUUGAUUAAUCCCCUCUUCUUGCUCUCUUGGAACUUAAAACGACAUU